UCGAGGGGCUGCAGAAGAACCGUGGACAGCAGCUCUGUGCUUGCACUGGUGCUUCUGAUUCACGCAGUGGAACCAGCAGAUGUUAAAGCGGCAUACCUUCAUCGUUCACACACCUUCAAGCCAGGUUGGAUCACCAGAACAGCCCCCUUUUUGACUUUGCAUGCCACAGAAAGGCAAGACCUUUGGCUCCUUUCUAUGGUGUUUGGACUUUGGGGCACGUUCUACACCGAAAGACUGUUGAACUCUUUGGGACUUUUACCAGAUUUUCCAUUGUUUAAGUCUUUUAAGACAAUUUGGUGCAAAACGCUCAAAACGGCAAACUUAUGUUAAGAGAUGGGGGCACAGAGAGUUGUAAAUUAUAGGAAUAAAGUAACUAUUUAUGGGAAA